rnacentral:lncRNA from 1 species
GAGAACAGUUUCAUCUGCAUGGUGAACAGUGCAGGAGAUGCCUGCCAAGCCCUAACACAGUAGACUGAAGAUGGCCACACAGGUCUCAUUGAUGGAAGAGUGUCCUGCUGAUUGGUAGGGAAGUGGCACGGGAGACAGAGGUGGCAUCAGCAGCCAGGUGGACUGGGAGCAAGAAGAGAAGGAAAACGUUUUCUCAUCUCAGGAACACCCAGCACCUUACCAUGACCCUCUGUUGUGCAAGAAGAUUAUAAGAGGCAACUUGGGGAACUUCCUCACUGGGGCAAAGUUCCUCUCUCUCCAGCAGAAGUCAAGUGAUCAGGGCAUUGUGUGGCCGAGUGAAUAUCAACCAUUGAGGAUAUCCACAGAGAUCUGGGUGUAAGAUCUGCUUAGGCAGUAGUGUCACCAAGAGUAUCAUAUACUGGAAACUGGACACAAAUUGUGUGGUUUAAACAACUCGGAAUACACAGACAAUUUUGUAUGUACAGUAAACUUUCUGUGUUUGAACUGUGGAAAUCUGCUUUCCAUGAACUAGGACCUAAACAACUGUGCAAUUGACACACCUGGAAUUCUGGAUAACCUUGGAAUACAAAUGGGGACACGAACCUCCUCCACUGGGAAAACUGAAGCUCACUGUGUUGUGUGCUCACUGCAAACUCAAGUUGGACUGUCUUUCUACCCGAAAUGAUGACUUUAUUCUUUCCUGUAUUGCAUGUUGCUCCUGCGCAAAGGCCUCUGGUUGAAGCCGUUGGUGGGCAGUGCUGCUGCCUGUUUUUGGACUCCUUUGGACGCCAGGGCUGUAAACUCAAGCGGGUUGUCGUUUCAAAUGAAAAGUUCUUGUGUAUCACACACUUGAUAACACUUCUGCCUAAGAAAUUAAACUCCCAGCUCUCUGUGGACAUCCCCAAUGGCUAAUCUUCAAUUGAACAUAUAAUACCUAAAAGAAGAAAUCAGUCAGCUUUCAAUAUCUCGGACUUUUUUGACAGAUCUCCAUAUUUCACUUCUG